rnacentral:rRNA from 1 species
GAUGAACGCUGGCGGCGUGCCUAAUACAUGCAAGUCGAGCGAACGGACGAGAAGCUUGCUUCACUGAUGUUAGCGGCGGACGGGUGAGUAACACGUGGAUAACCUACCUAUAAGACUGGGAUAACUUCGGGAAACCGGAGCUAAUACCGGAUAAUAUUUUGAACCGCAUGGUUCAAAAGUGAAAGACGGUCUUGCUGUCACUUAUAGAUGGAUCCGCGCUGCAUUAGCUAGUUGGUAAGGUAACGGCUUACCAAGGCAACGAUGCAUAGCCGACCUGAGAGGGUGAUCGGCCACACUGGAACUGAGACACGGUCCAGACUCCUACGGGAGGCAGCAGUAGGGAAUCUUCCGCAAUGGGCGAAAGCCUGACGGAGCAACGCCGCGUGAGUGAUGAAGGUCUUCGGAUCGUAAAACUCUGUUAUUAGGGAAGAACAUAUGUGUAAGUAACUGUGCACAUCUUGACGGUACCUAAUCAGAAAGCCACGGCUAACUACGUG